rnacentral:rRNA from 1 species
GACGAACGCUGGCGGCGUGCUUAACACAUGCAAGUCGAACGGAAAGGCCCUGCUUUUGUGGGGUUCUCGAGUGGCGAACGGGUGAGUAACACGUGAGUAACCUGCCCUUGACUUUGGGAUAACUUCAGGAAACUGGGGCUACUACCGGAUAGGAGCUCCUGCUGCAUGGUGGGGGUUGGAAAGUUUCGGCGGUUGGGGAUGGACUCGCGGCUUAUCAGCUUGUUGGUGGGGUAGUGGCUUACCAAGGCUUUGACGGGUCGCCGGCCUGAGAGGGUGACCGGCCACAUUGGGACUGAGAUACGGCCCAGACUCCUACGGGAGGCAGCAGUGGGGAAUAUUGCACAAUGGGCGGAAGCCUGAUGCAGCAACGCCGCGUGCGGGAUGACGGCCUUCGGGUUGUAAACCGCUUUCGCCUGUGACGAAGCGUGAGUGACGGUAAUGGGUAAAGAAGCACCGGCUAACUACGUG